rnacentral:rRNA from 1 species
AUGGCGCUCCUCACCGAUCUCCUCAACCUCGACCUCACCGACUCCACGGAGAAGAUCAUCGCCGAGUACAUAUGGAUCGGCGGAUCUGGCAUGGAUCUCAGGAGCAAGGCCAGGACCCUCCCCGGCCCGGUCACCGAUCCCAGCAAGCUGCCCAAGUGGAACUACGACGGCUCCAGCACCGGCCAGGCCCCCGGCGAGGACAGCGAGGUCAUCCUGUACCCACAGGCCAUCUUCAAGGACCCGUUCAGGAAGGGCAACAACAUCCUUGUCAUGUGCGAUUGCUACACCCCAGCUGGAGUGCCAAUCCCCACUAACAAGAGAUACAACGCUGCUAAGAUCUUUAGCAACCCUGAUGUUGCCAAGGAGGAGCCAUGGUACGGUAUUGAGCAGGAGUACACCCUCCUACAGAAGGACAUCAACUGGCCUCUCGGCUGGCCUGUUGGUGGCUUCCCUGGUCCUCAGGGUCCUUACUACUGUAGUAUCGGUGCUGACAAGUCGUUCGGGCGUGACAUAGUUGACUCCCACUACAAGGCCUGCCUCUUUGCCGGCGUCAACAUCAGUGGCAUCAACGGCGAGGUCAUGCCCGGACAGUGGGAGUUCCAAGUUGGCCCGACUGUUGGCAUUUCUGCUGGUGACCAAGUGUGGGUUGCUCGCUACCUUCUUGAGAGGAUCACCGAGAUCGCCGGAGUUGUCGUCACAUUUGACCCCAAGCCCAUCCCAGGCGACUGGAACGGUGCUGGUGCUCACACAAACUACAGUACCGAGUCGAUGAGGAAGGACGGCGGGUUCAAGGUCAUCGUGGACGCCGUCGAGAAGCUCAAGCUGAAGCACAAGGAGCACAUCGCCGCCUACGGCGAGGGCAACGAGCGCCGUCUGACCGGCAAGCACGAGACCGCCGACAUCAACACCUUCAGCUGGGGUGUCGCGAACCGUGGCGCGUCGGUGCGCGUGGGCCGGGAGACGGAGCAGAACGGCAAGGGCUACUUCGAGGACCGCCGGCCGGCGUCCAACAUGGACCCCUACGUGGUCACCUCGAUGAUCGCCGAGACCACCAUCCUGUGGAAGCCCUGA